rnacentral:rRNA from 1 species
ACGUAGGGGGCAAGCGUUGCUCGGAAUUACUGGGCGUAAAGGGUGUGUAGGUGGCGGAUUAAGUUAAGGAUGAAAUCACGAGGCUCAACUUCGGAACUGUCCUUGAUACUGGUCAGCUUGAGGCUAGUAAAGGAGAGCGGAAUUCCCGGUGGAGCGGUGUUAUGCGUAGAUAUGGCGAGUAACACCGUAGUCGUAGGUGGUUCUCUAUUGUAGUUCUCACUCUGCGGCUUAAAACUUCGGGGUAUAUACCU